UUGAACGCUGGCGGCAUGCCUUACACAUGCAAGUCGAACGGCAGCACGGGAGCAAUCCUGGUGGCGAGUGGCGAACGGGUGAGUAAUAUAUCGGAACGUGCCCAGUCGUGGGGGAUAACGCAGCGAAAGCUGUGCUAAUACCGCAUACGAUCUCUGGAUGAAAGCGGGGGAUCGCAAGACCUCGCGCGAUAAGAGCGGCCGAUAUCUGAUUAGCUAGUUGGUGGGGUAAGGGCCUACCAAGGCGACGAUCAGUAGCUGGUCUGAGAGGACGACCAGCCACACUGGGACUGAGACACGGCCCAGACUCCUACGGGAGGCAGCAGUGGGGAAUUUUGGACAAUGGGGGAAACCCUGAUCCAGCCAUUCCGCGUGAGUGAAGAAGGCCUUCGGGUUGUAAAGCUCUUUCGGCAGGGAAGAAAAGGCUACGGAUAAUACCUGUGGUUCAUGACGGUACCUGAAGAAGAAGCACCGGCUAACUACGU
rnacentral:rRNA from 1 species